ACUAUGAUGCCACAUAUGAAAUACACACAUCAACCAUUAGAAAAUCUCUUAUUCUUUUUCUCAUCUAGGAUUUACAUAUCUAGAGAAAACAUAAAUUGAACCCUUCGUCGCCAUCUCCGUCGCUACCACCAUCAGCACCAACACCAGUGUUGAAUCCACCAUCACCACCACCACCACCAUCACCGACGGUGAAUCUGUAACUCAAACUACUAUUGGUUUACUAAGAUAAACGGUGGUUAUAUAUCUCAAUAUGAAUGAUGCAUCAUGAGGUAAGGUCUAAGGAUAACUGUUCCAAGGAGUCUUAGGUGUGCUGCUUGUGGAGCUUGACGAUGAGCUUCGUCUCUUAAGUUACCAAUGUUUUUGAAAAGUAAUUGACUAGUUGUUGUCAGUUGACUAAUUUUUUCACACGAGACUCUUUGAGAGGCCGUGGAACUAACACUAGUAGUUAGUUUAGACUACUAGGCAGCAGUUGCAGGAUUCCAUCACUUGAAGAUGUAUAAUUUAUCGGAAGCCCUUUACAGUGGUAAGAUUAGGAUUAUUUUAGUACUGAAAGGUUGGAUAAAUUUGUUAUAGGUUAGAAAAAAUUAUUUACUUGCCUUGAGAAUAGAGUCUAUUUAGUAGUACAUUUCAUUUUGAUUUUUCGACACAUUAUUACUAUGAAGACAUGUAAUUGAAUUGUGGUACAAUGAAUUUGUGGUGCAAUGGUAGCACAACUGACACCACGUCAGAAAAUACGUUUUCAAUUCACGUCAGGUUCACUAAUUUUAUUACAUCAAUUUUUGGGAUCAAUUUUGGUUGUUGACACUAGUUUUUGGGGUCAACUUUGCUUGUUGAUACCGUAUUAUGGGAUCAACUUUGGUUGUUGACCCCAUACAUAAUUUGAAUAUUUUCUGAAUUUUUAACUUAAGGGAUCAACUUCGGUUGUUGAUACCAUAUUAUUUAUUUAUUUAUUGAUUGAUUUUUUAUUU